rnacentral:rRNA from 1 species
GACGUAAGGGGCAAGCGUUGUCCGGAAUUACUGGGCGUAAAGAGCGCGUAGGUGGUCUGACAAGCGGCAGGUGAAAUCCCGUGGCUCAACUGCGGAACUGCUUGCCGAACUGUCAGACUAGAGCGUGGGAGAGGGCAGUGGAAUUCCUGGUGUAGCGGUGGAAUGCGUCAAUAUCAGGAAGAACACCCGUGGCGAAGGCUGCUGCCUGGAACAUUGCUGACACUGAGGCGCGAAAGCUAGGGGAGCGAACGGG